rnacentral:tRNA from 1 species
ACGGGAAGUAGCUCAGCUUGGUAGAGCACUUGGUUUGGGACCAAGGGGUCGCAGGUUCGAAUCCUGUCUUCCC